UACGGAGGGGGCUAGCGUUGUUCGGAAUUACUGGGCGUAAAGCGUACGUAGGCGGCUUUGUAAGUUAGAGGUGAAAGCCUGGUGCUCAACACCAGAACUGCCUUUAAGACUGCAUCGCUUGAAUCGCGGAGAGGUGAGUGGAAUUCCGAGUGUAGAGGUGAAAUUCGUAGAUAUUCGGAAGAACACCAGUGGCGAAGGCGGCUCACUGGACGCGUAUUGACGCUGAGGUACGAAAGCGUGGGGAGCAAACAG
rnacentral:rRNA from 1 species